ensembl:processed_transcript
UGGUGUUUCCUCCGUGGACUUUGCCUCCGUCCAGCUGCACACAGACCUCGUCUCCCACGUCUAAAUGCAGGAUCACACUGUUGGAGGCGUAGUCGUAAUUCUGGUCAGCGUCCUGGGCGAUAGCGCUGGCCCUCACCUGUCACACACACACACAGGACAAAUGAAGACACGGUAAGAGGAAGGACAAACAGAAGAUUGCCACCAUAUUCCAGUAAUCUAAAAUACCCUACAGAAGAGUGAAGCGGGGCCACCUGAUGUGUUCGAAAUGGACGUAAUUGAGUGGACCGAAAAGAUAAUUAAUGAGCAAUCAACGGACAUGCAAUAGAAGGGGGGGACACGUACAGCAUGCAGGGGAUUCAAUCUAAGAGUUAUGAAUGAUUUAGCAGAGGAAGCAGACUUGCAUGACAACACAGAUCUGUACAGGUCAGACCAAUUUAAUCUACUAUCGCUCUAAUCACAUUUACAGGUGGUCUACUGUAUUAAAGCAGAGUUUUUUAACAGAAUAACGAUAGGCUUUCAUUGCACAGUCAGAUACAAAU